rnacentral:rRNA from 1 species
AUGACCCUAUCACGUUGAAACCUUGGUUCUCCUACAAUCAGCGAGAUUAAGCAACGUUGAGCCUGAUCAGUACCUAGAUGGGUGACCGCUUGGGAAUACCAGGUGCU